rnacentral:misc_RNA from 1 species
CCGAGAUAGCAUAGGCUGUGUCACCACCGCCAUAGGGAGUGCCACCACCUGCCCUCGAUGCCAUAAUGAAGGCCCUCUCAAAGGUCACACAAUAGGUUCCUCAGUGGGUGCCAUGCCUAGGGGCUUUCCCUACGAGAUGUCGUGGAAGGAAGGACAUGAUGUCACUUCUGAUUUACUCAGCCACCAGCGCUAUACCCUCAACCACCACUGCUCCAUAGAUCGUGCCACAGACCAUCCCACUGCUCGCCACCUCACCCCUAGCUGCCUCACCAUCAUAGUCAUUGCUGCCCAACUUCUCGAUGCCACUAGCUCUGGUGUUCCCAUAGUUCUCCGCUCCAGCACCGCCACUUGCAGCAG